CCUCGUUUCCCAUGAACUUGAUGCCGUGCCCAGUCAUUUAACUUCCGCAGUAGUGAGGGAGUUGAAACACAGGAUAUCUUUCUGCUAUAGAGUACUCUCAUGUAAUCCUAACAUCUUGAUUUUUUUUUUUUUGCACGUAGGCAAGGGCUUCGUUUUGUUUCCACCCGUGCUAUCUUCUUAGAGACCUCAGAUAUUCUCUGUCCACUUCAAAGAUAGUUUUGUGUGCAUCAACCAAAGUUGUGUCAUCACCCUUUUGCUGUUGUUUUGUAGAUAGACACUUCC
rnacentral:lncRNA from 1 species